CGGCACGGGUGAGUAACACGUAUCCAACCUGCCGUCUACUCUUGGACAGCCUUCUGAAAGGAAGAUUAAUACAAGAUGGCAUCAUGAGUCCGCAUGUUCACAUGAUUAAAGGUAUUCCGGUAGACGAUGGGGAUGCGUUCCAUUAGAUAGUAGGCGGGGUAACGGCCCACCUAGUCUUCGAUGGAUGGGGUUCUGAGAGGAAGGUCCCCCACAUUGGAACUGAGACACGGUCCAA
rnacentral:rRNA from 1 species